UCGUAACAAGGUUUCCGUAGGUGAACCUGCGGAAGGAUCAUUACCGAGUGAGGGCCCUCUGGGUCCAACCUCCCACCCGUGUUUAUCGUACCUUGUUGCUUCGGCGGGCCCGCCGUUCCGGCCGCCGGGGGGCAUCCGCCCCCGGGCCCGCGCCCGCCGAAGACACCAUUGAACGCUGUCUGAAGAUUGCAGUCUGAGCGAUUAGCUAAAUCAGUUAAAACUUUCAACAACGGAUCUCUUGGUUCCGGCAUCGAUGAAGAACGCAGCGAAAUGCGAUAAGUAAUGUGAAUUGCAGAAUUCAGUGAAUCAUCGAGUCUUUGAACGCACAUUGCGCCCCCUGGUAUUCCGGGGGGCAUGCCUGUCCGAGCGUCAUUGCUGCCCUCAAGCACGGCUUGUGUGUUGGGCCCCGCCCCCCGGCUACCGGGGGGCGGGCCCGAAAGGCAGCGGCGGCACCGCGUCCGGUCCUCGAGCGUAUGGGGCUUCGUCACCCGCUCUGUAGGCCCGGCCGGCGCCCGCCGGCGACCCCCCUCAAUCUUUCUCAGGUUGACCUCGGAUCAGGUAGGGAUACCCGCUGAACUUAAGCAUAUCAAUAA
rnacentral:misc_RNA from 1 species